UACGUAGGGUGCAAGCGUUGUCCGGAAUUAUUGGGCGUAAAGAGCUCGUAGGCGGUUUGUCGCGUCUGCUGUGAAAACUCGGGGCUUAACUCCGGGCCUGCAGUGGGUACGGGCAGACUAGAGUGCGGUAGGGGAGACUGGAAUUCCUGGUGUAGCGGUGAAAUGCGCAGAUAUCAGGAGGAACACCGGUGGCGAAGGCGGUUCUCUGGGCAUUCCCUGACGCUGAGGAGCGAAAGCGUGGGGGAGCAAACAGG
rnacentral:rRNA from 1 species